GGAUUCCAAGGAAGGGAUGAUGUUCUUAAUAAGACCCAAGAAAAGGAUUCUGAGCCUCAGAGCUUUGAAGGAACCACUUGUUCCCUGACCUUCCUUCAGGAAAU
ensembl:snoRNA Gm22059 small nucleolar RNA SNORD124